rnacentral:lncRNA from 1 species
AGUUUAAAUGUGGUAACAGAAACCUCUAAGUCCUGCUUCCUGUAUUUAAUUAAAAACAAUUUCAAACCAUAAAUUGACGAAUAAAAAAUCAUUCUAAAAAUACCAUUGAAUUUCUCAAUUUACCCUACUUGUCACCAAACUACUUUGUAAACAACUCUAAUUAACCAUUUGAAUACGAUAUCAAAUCACCGAAACAAAUAACCAGAUGAUAUCAAUAAGGCAACGUAGAUUUUUCAAAAAUUAACAAGUUUCAAAACAGUAUGCCACAUAAAUUAAUGUGUUUAUCUAGUUGCGUCGAAGCUUUUUCUGGAUCUUUCAAGCUCUUAAUCACAUUUAUUGUUCGCUUGUUAGAUAGAAUUACCAUGCAUAGAUGGGUUAAAAGGCAAGUUUAUAUUUAUUUCUUUUACGUGGAAUUUUAAACUUUUUAUUUGUAAUAAAAUAUUGUUCACGUUUUGACGUAUCUAUGAUAGCUUUAUAAAUGGUCCUGGUAUCUUUUAUGAGUUUAUUUAUAGCUGCAGUAAA